rnacentral:misc_RNA from 1 species
AAGGCUGAGUUGAGUUGAGUUGAGGAAAAAUAGAUUAAAAAGGUUUGUAUGAAAUGCUAUUCGUGUAUUGAAUGUCUCUUGGAGAUUUCGCAGGACGUGGUCGUUGGAGGGGAAGGGGCCGUGGGCGUGGUCGUGGUUUCAGAUCAGAUGGCCCUACCCGUCAGGCAGGAGCUGCCUGAGCAGCAUAUAUGGGAAAAACUAUAAUGUAGGUCUGCAGUUUGAAAAUGAUACAUGGAUGGCUGCUCUGCUCGUGUUGUCGUGAAUUUGGUGAUAUUUAUGGGUACUGUCGUAAAUUUGAAGUAUGUGAAAGUGUUGCAACUAUGAUGCUUGCAGUUUUGUCUUCCUGUGGUCGUGUAGGAUUAUUUUUUAAGUUAUUGCUAAUCAGGUGUCUAGCAUACUGGCAGAGGUUGUACAUUUUUUCUCCUAGAUAGGAAUGAUAGAGCAGUACAUU